rnacentral:rRNA from 1 species
GACGAACGCUGGCGGCGUGCUUAACACAUGCAAGUCGAACGCUGAAGCUCAGCUUGCUGGGUGGAUGAGUGGCGAACGGGUGAGUAACACGUGAGUAACCUGCCCUCUUCUUUGGGAUAACGCCCGGAAACGGGUGCUAAUACUGGAUAUUCACUGAUUCUCGCAUGGGGGUUGGUGGAAAGGUUUUUACUGGUGGGGGAUGGGCUCGCGGCCUAUCAGCUUGUUGGUGGGGUGAUGGCCUACCAAGGCUUUGACGGGUAGCCGGCCUGAGAGGGUGACCGGUCACAUUGGGACUGAGAUACGGCCCAGACUCCUACGGGAGGCAGCAGUGGGGAAUAUUGCACAAUGGGCGAAAGCCUGAUGCAGCGACGCCGCGUGAGGGAUGGAGGCCUUCGGGUUGUAAACCUCUUUCGCUCAUGGUCAAGCCGCAGCUUUGGGUUGUGGUGAGGGUAGUGGGUAAAGAAGCGCCGGCUAACUACGUG